AGAGUUUGAUCCUGGCUCAGAAUCAACGCUGGCGGCGUGCCUAACACAUGCAAGUCGAACGAGAAAGUCCCGCAAGGGAUGAGUAAAGUGGCGUACGGGUGAGUAACACGUAGCUAACCUACCCUCGAGUGGGGGAUAACCUGGGGAAACUCGGGCUAAUACCGCAUAAGAUCCGGGCUGCAUCGGUAGUCUGGAGCAAGGGUCCGCAAGGAUCGCUUGAGGAGGGGGCUGCGGCCGAUUAGCUAGUUGGUGAGGUAACGGCCCACCAAGGCGACGAUCGGUAGCCGGCCUGAGAGGGCGCACGGCCACACUGGCACUGAAACACGGGCCAGACUCCUACGGGAGGCAGCAGUGGGGAAUUUUGCACAAUGCCCGAAAGGGUGAUGCAGCAACGCCGCGUGAGGGAUGAAGGUCUUCGGAUCGUAAACCUCUUUCGACCGGGAAAAAUGGGCGGGUGAACAGCCCGUUCUGAUGGUACCGGUGGAAGAAGCCCCGGCUAACUACGUGCCAGCAGCCGCGGUAAUACGUAGGGGGCGAGCGUUGUUCGGAAUUACUGGGCGUAAAGGGCGUGUAGGCGGUGCGGUAAGUCGGGCGUGAAAUCCCCAGGCUCAACCUGGGGCGGUCGCUCGGGACUGCUGUGCUAGAGUGCGGGAGAGGCGAGUGGAAUUACAGGUGUAGCGGUGAAAUGCGUAGAUAUCUGUAGGAACACCCGUGGCGAAGCGGCUCGCUGGACCGCAACUGACGCUGAGGAACGAAAGCUAGGGAGCAAACAGGAUAGAUACCCUGGUAGUCCUAGCCCUAAACCAUCAGACUUGGGGUGGCCCGCGUU
rnacentral:rRNA from 1 species